UGGGGAAUUUUGGACAAUGGGCGAAAGCCUGAUCCAGCAAUGCCGCGUGUGUGAAGAAGGCCUUCGGGUUGUAAAGCACUUUUGCCCGGAAAGAAAUCCUUGGCUCUAAUACAGUCGGGGGAUGACGGUACCGGAAGAAUAAGCACCGGCUAACUACGUGCCAGCAGCCGCGGUAAUACGUAGGGUGCAAGCGUUAAUCGGAAUUACUGGGCGUAAAGCGUGCGCAGGCGGUUUGCUAAGACCGAUGUGAAAUCCCCGGGCUCAACCUGGGAACUGCAUUGGUGACUGGCAGGCUAGAGUAUGGCAGAGGGGGGUAGAAUUCCACGUGUAGCAGUGAAAUGCGUAGAGAUGUGGAGGAAUACCGAUGGCGAAGGCAGCCCCCUGGGCCAAUACUGACGCUCAUGCACGAAAGCGUGGGGAGCAAACAGGAUUAGAUACCCUGGUAGUCCACGCCCUAAACGAUGUCAACUAGUUGUUGGGGAUUCAUUUCCUUAGUAACGUAGCUAACGCGUGAAGUUGACCGCCUGGGGAGUACGGUCGCAAGAUUAAAACUCAAAGGAAUUGACGGGGUCAUAGCUGUUUCCU
rnacentral:rRNA from 1 species